GCGUUACAAGUGGGCUCUGACCGGUAAGCGGUCAUGGCGAAAUGGGAUGAACCAUACGUCUGAAUAAGGUGCCGAAAUGUACUAUCACUGAUACCAUAAAGGGAGUCCAUGUAUUUAGACAGCAGGUCGGUGCCCCUAAAAGCAGGUAUCCGCUAAAGAGUGUGUUAAAACUCACCUGCCGAAUACUAGGGCCCCGAAAAUGAAUGGCGCAUAUAGUACUACCGAUCUCAGACAUCAGUUCUAUUGAACUGAGAGUAGGGGGAUGUGGACAUUUUUGUGAAGGUGCAAUGUGAGUUGGACUGGAAGAAUGUCUAUUACAGAUCCUAAUUGAAGUAGCGAUUAUCCAGGCUUGUAUCCUGGGGGCUGAUGAGGAGUAGGGUUUCUGGACAACUUAAACAGAUCCAGAGUUAGUCGAUCCUAAUCUCAAUAAUGGGAGAAAGGGAGUACAGUUGAUAUUCUGUAACUGACAACAGUUCGCGGCAACGCAUACUAUUUUUCUCCGCCAAUCUUAUACCGUUGGUAGGGAUCUCUUUCCUACAUGACAGUACUAAUACCCAGGGAAACUGGUCAUCAGGCGAACUGCGGCGUUCUGCUGGCAAAACAUAGCUUCGGUUAUGUCAAUGGCUAUUGGAUUGGUCCAUGAAGCGAAAAAUAGUUUACUGUGUCACUCGUACCGAUAACCGCAUCAGGUCUUCUAGGUAAGUAGCCUAUGGCCAUUGAGGCAUGAUAGUUCAGGGAAUUCGGCCAAUUAGAGCUGUAACUUCGGGAUAAAGCUUGGCUCUGAUGAAAAUCAGAACCGAUUGUUACGCGGAGAGCCCAACUGUUUAAUAAAAACGUAGUGUCGCGCUGUGGUAGUAUAGCCAGUGAACGCGACAUGAAUCCUGCUCAGUGCUGUGUCUGUUAAUAUGGUUCAAGCCAACGAAGCACCGGUAAAUAGCUGGGGGUAACUAUGACUCUUAUCAAAGUAGCGAAAUACCUCGUCACUUAAUUAGUGACCUGCAUGAACGGAGCUAUGAGGUUCUCACUGUCCCAAACUGUCUCUCAGCGAACCAACUGUAGUGGGAACGGUCACUAGAUAUCCAGCGGGGAAAGAAGACCCUGUAGAGCUUCACUUUGGUCUAGUCUUGUAUAGUUCCUGCGGGGGUGUAGACUAGGUGGGAGAGCAAUCGAUUCUGAAAAACCACUACCCUGUUUGGAAUUAUGCUUACCUAUCACAAGGAAUAGGACUAGAUAGAAAGUUUGGCUGGGGCGGCACACCUUCGAAAGAGCAGCGAAGGUGUCCUAAGUUGAGCUCAGUGAGGACAGAAAUCUCACGUUGAGGAUAAGGCCAAAAGCUCAAUUUACUGUGCCUUUUUGUACUAGGAUCAGUUACGAAAGUAAGGCCUAACGAUCCCUAAAUAGCCUCAGGUGCGUGAGGAUUGGGGUGACAGACAAGUUACCUCCGGGACAACUGGCUUGUGGCUGCUAAGAGAUCAAAUCAACGCAGCUUUUUGAUUCUUCGAUGUCGGCUCUUCCUAUCCUAGUGAUGUACAAGUUGCUAAGGGUCGGAUUGUUCACCCGUAUUAGGGAUCGUGAGCUGGGUUUAGACCGUCGUGAGCCAGGUUUGUUUUAUCCUACUGGAUAUAGCAUCAUGAUAGUAGAUUGAUUUAGUACGAGAGGAACUGUUGAUUAUGGCCUCUGGUUAGCGAUUAUCGGAAACGGUAUGUCGCGCAGCUACGCCGUCUGGGAUAAUGGCUGAAAGCCUCUUAAGCCAGAAGCCCAUCUAGAAAGUGAUGCACGUGAUGUUGGACCGAUACGAAUAAUCAUACUCAAAAGGUCCGCUUCAUAGGUAACCCAAUGUAGAAGACAUUGUGUGAACGAAGGUACUGUAAGCAGUGGAGUGGCAUUACGUCCACGACCUGUUGAGGUUCAGCUUCGCUUCUAGGUUUCC
rnacentral:ncRNA from 1 species